UACGAAGGGUGCAAGCGUUACUCGGAAUUACUGGGCGUAAAGCGCGUGUAGGCGGCCAUCUAAGUCGGGCGUGAAAUCCCACGGCUCAACCGUGGAAGUGCACUCGAAACUGGAUGGCUAGAGUCCUGGAGAGGAAGGUGGAAUGCUUGGUGUAGAGGUGAAAUUCGUAGAUAUCAAGCGGAACACCGGUGGCGAAGGCGGCCUUCUGGACAGUGACUGACGCUGAGACGCGAAAGCGUGGGGAGCAAACAGG
rnacentral:rRNA from 1 species